GUGUGCUUGAACGGUUGUUCUGGGUUCCAAAGAGUAUUAGUGACAACAAUCUUGUGUCUCAACAAAGCUUAGCCCCCAACUCAAGAGGAUGGCAGGGUUAGGCCAGAAAGACUAAAGCAGCGUACCAAGACUAAAGACCAAAUUGGGCACUGGAUAGAACAGCGAGGUGCCAGUCUUGGUACUUACAUAAAAGUGCCUGAUAAGCUCUGCAAAAUUCAGACUCAAGUGAAGACUAUGGAAAACAAAAGAAAUGGAAAACAUGCUCAAAAAACAAGAAAUCAAGUUAUACUUUUCAUAAGGCACCACCAAAAACCCUGGUAAAUUAGAG